UACGUAGGGGGCUAGCGUUGUCCGGAAUCAUUGGGCGUAAAGAGCGUGUAGGCGGCCCGGUAAGUCCGCUGUGAAAGUCGGGGGCUCAACCCUCGAAUGCCGGUGGAUACUGUCGGGCUAGAGUCCGGAAGAGGCGAGUGGAAUUCCCGGUGUAGCGGUGAAAUGCGUAGAUAUCAAGAGGAACACCUGAGGUGAAGACGGGUUGCUGGGCCAACACUGACGCUGAGGCGCGAAAGCCAGGGGAGCAAACGGG
rnacentral:rRNA from 1 species